CUGGCAAUGAGUACUAGGGGUACGAAAGAUGGGACAGAGAAUAGCUACAACGUAGAUGUAACACUCGGUGUUUAUGAGUUCAGGCCCCUCUCGGAGGAGAAUAUCCAAAUCAAAUGAGGUCCAAAUGCAGCAAAACUUUUUGGAGAUGUUUCUGCCCAGAAGAGACCCAGGGAGCCCAGGAGUUGUACCAGAGGAGGCCUGCAGUCCCACAAGACACCAGGGCGCGCCAGAGGCCCCUGGCAUGCCCUGAUGCCUUGUGGGGCUCACGGUGAUCUUUUCCACGGCCUCUCAGCUCUAUAAAUACCCAAAUAUUCCAGAAACCCUAGGGGAGUCGACGAAACACAAUUCCAGCCACCGCAAGUUCCAGAACCAUGAGAUCCGAUCUAGAGCCCUAUUCCGACACCAUUGCGGAGGGGGAAAUGAUCACAGAGGGGUUCAUCAUCCUCAUUGGUGCUCCUCCGAUGAUCCGUGAGUCGUUUACCAUAGACCUACGGGUCCAUAGGCAGUAGCUAGAUGGCUUCUUCUCUCUUUUUAAUUCUCAAUACAAUGUUCUCCUCGAUGUUCUUGGAGAUCUACUUGAUGUAAUGACUUUUUUGUGGUGUGUAUGUUGGGAUCUGAUGAAUUGUGAGUUUAUGAUCAGAUAUAUCUAUGAA